GAUGAACGCUAGCUACAGGCUUAACACAUGCAAGUCGAGGGGCAGCAUGGUCUUAGCUUGCUAAGGCCGAUGGCGACCGGCGCACGGGUGAGUAACACGUAUCCAACCUGCCGUCUACUCUUGGACAGCCUUCUGAAAGGAAGAUUAAUACAAGAUGGCAUCAUGAGUUCACAUGUUCACAUGAUUAAAGGUAUUCCGGUAGACGAUGGGGAUGCGUUCCAUUAGAUAGUAGGCGGGGUAACGGCCCACCUAGUCUUCAAUGGAUAGGGGUUCUGAGAGGAAGGUCCCCCACAUUGGAACUGAGACACGGUCCAAACUCCUACGGGAGGCAGCAGUGAGGAAUAUUGAUCAAUGGGCGAGAGCCUGAACCAGCCAAGUAGCGUGAAGGAUGACUGCCCUAUGGGUUGUAAACUUCUUUUAUAAAGGAAUAAAGUCGGGUAUGUAUACCCGUUUGCAUGUACUUUAUGAAUAAGGAUCGGCUAACUCCGUG
rnacentral:rRNA from 1 species